rnacentral:rRNA from 1 species
GACGAACGCUGGCGGCGUGCUUAACACAUGCAAGUCGAACGGAGAGGCCCUGCUUUUGUGGGGUGCUCGAGUGGCGAACGGGUGAGUAACACGUGAGUAACCUGCCCUUGACUUUGGGAUAACUUCAGGAAACUGGGGCUAAUACCGGAUAGGAGCUCCUGCUGCAUGGUGGGGGUUGGAAAGUUUCGGCGGUUGGGGAUGGACUCGCGGCUUAUCAGCUUGUUGGUGGGGUAGUGGCUUACCAAGGCUUUGACGGGUAGCCGGCCUGAGAGGGUGACCGGGCCCAGAGGGGGAGAGAGACGGGCCCGAGGCCUCCGGGGGGGAGGGGGGGGGGAUAUUGCGCAAAGGGGGGGGGAGCGAGGGGGCGCCGCCGCGUGGGGGAGGUCGGGCUUUGGGGUUUAAAACCCUUUUGCCUGUGAGGAAAGGGGAGGGAGGGGAAUGGGGAAAAAAACACAGCGUAUAUCCGC